UCCCUAAUAGUCCAGAAGUAAAGACUUUGCCUCCAAUGCAGAGGGUGUGGGUUCAAUCCCUUCUCAGGGAA
rnacentral:tRNA from 1 species